GAUGAACGCUGGCGGCGUGCCUAAUACAUGCAGGUCGAGCGAACGGACGAGAAGCUUGCUUCUCUGAUGUUAGCGGCGGACGGGUGAGUAACACGUGGAUAACCUACCUAUAAGACUGGGAUAACUUCGGGAAACCGGAUCUAAUACCGGAUGAUAUUUUGAACCGCAUGGUUCAAAAGUGAAAGACGGUCUUGCUGUCACUUAUAGAUGGAUCCGCGCUGCCUUAGCUAGUUGGUAAGGUAACGGGUUACCAAGGCAACGAUGCAUAGCCGACCUGGGGGGGGGAGCGGCCAACGCGGAACUGGGACACGGGCCAGGCCCCUAAGGGAGGGGGCGGUAGGGGAGGGGACGGAAUGGGCAGAGGCCGGACGGAGCCACGGCGGGGGAGGGAUGGAGGUGUUCGGCUUGGGAAACUCUGGUACUAGGGAAGAACAUAUGUGUACGUAACUGUGCACAUCUUGACGGUACCUAAACAGAAAGCCACGGCUAACUACGUG
rnacentral:rRNA from 1 species